CACAUAUCCAUCUUCUUUUACAUCCAGGGAUGUUUUAGGUUAACCAGAUUUGCAGACAGGAGCAGCGAUGUGGUGGUUUUCAGGGGCGGGUGUUCUUUUCCGAAAGCUUUGCUGAGGGAAUGGAUGACAACGCAUCAGCCCUGGAGAGCUAAAACUGUUCUUCAUGAGGGCCAGCAGCAGCAGGGAGGGCUGCUGUGACUCAGAGACGCUUUGGGAAAACAACAAAUGAAACAUCAAGAGAUAUGAUUGCAACAAUAGUGUCACCCCGGGACCUCUAGCAGAGAUGCAAACAGCACUGUCUGCACCUCACUACCCUCCAUGUCAGGGAUGUCAGACAGAGGCUCUCAAGAGCGUGGAAGCGUUCCAAAUUGGCCACUGCAGCUAUAAAGGAGAACAAAAGGAGUGCUGCACCGCCAGACUGGGCGCGUCCCCAUGGUGACUUCUAAAGGCCCCAGCCCCUGCCACUGUGUCCCCUGCCUGCCCUGGGCCGCAGCACAUGGAAGGAAGGCUGACUGGGAACAGGAGGAAGGCUAUGCAAGCUCCUGGGCUCCUGAAAAGGAAAGUGGAAG
rnacentral:lncRNA from 1 species